GUCCAGAAUGCGGCGGACCAGAGCCAGAGCCCUGCAAAGGUGAUGGCAGCAGCCGGCCAAUAGCGCGUCGUCAUGAUGGCGAGGCCGGCUGC
rnacentral:sRNA from 1 species